GUCCCCGUGGUCCCCCCAGAGUCGGGUCAGGUCCCCGUGGUCCCCCCAGAGUCGGGUCAGGUCCCCGUGGUCCCCCCAGAGUCGGGUCAGGUCCCCGUGGUCCCCCCAGAGUCGGGUCAGGUCCCCGUGGUCCCCCCAGAGUCGGGUCAGGUCCCCGUGGUCCCCCCAGAGUCGAGUCAGGUCCCCGUUGACCCCCCAGAGUCGAGUCAGGUCCCCGUUGAGUCGAGUCAGGUCCCCGUUGACCAUCCUGAGUCAGGUCAAGUCACCAUUAACACUCAUGAGUUAAGUACUACCACAGUUAGACCUCAUGAGUCAAGUCAAGUCACCAAUGAUCUUCAUGGGCAAGGUCAAGUCACCAGUGUUCUUCAUGGGCAAAGUCAAGUCACCAAUUAUCUUCAUGAGCAAGGGCAAGUCACCGUUGAUCUUCAUGAGCAUAGUCAAGUCACCGUUGAUCUUCCUGAACAAAGUCAAGCCACAGUUGAUCUUCCUGAACCCAGUCAAAUCACCACGGAACUACCAGAGCCUCUUCACGUAUCUGGUAAACUACCAGAGCCUAGUCACGUCUCAGCCGAACUUCCUGAGCGCUCGUCCUAUCCUGUCAUGGCCAUGGAGGCCAUCCAGGAACUCACCACCUGCCCUGUCAUGACCAUCUACCGUCUCAUCAGGGCCAAGCAAGCCAUCCUUAACCUGUUCAUGUUCUCUAUUUUAGGCUUACCUAACCAGACUUGCUCUCCUGUGCCAUCGAUCCCACUGUGGUGGUCUUCUGCGCCACCCUCUUGGGUUUCUGUGCCGCCCUGGUGGGCUUCUGUCUCGACCACAUGGUGGUGGUGGUCUUCUGCGCCGCAUUGGUGGGCAUCUGUCUUGUCUGCUUGGCUUUGAGUGGCCCUCUGCGCCGCCCUGGUGCACCUCUGUCUCGAAUGCAAGGCGGUGGUGGUUCUCUGCACUGCCCUGGUGGGCGUCAGUCCCGUCUGCUCGGCUGUUGUGGUCUCCAUUUCCAUCUGCUCCAUCCCGGUGGGCUUCGGUUCCACCUGUUCCACCCUGGAUUCCUGCCCUGUCUGGGCCCCUGAACUUUCCGUUCCCUCCUGGCCUCUUUGUUUUUUUCACUUCCUGUCUCUGUUUCCCUUUAUGGACCUGGCCCUCCGUCCCUCC
rnacentral:lncRNA from 1 species